ensembl:lncRNA
GUUUGAAUAAAAGGAGAUGAAGCUACCACGUGGGACAAGGUGGGAGGCCGGGGAGGGGCAGGUGAAGGGCCAUAUACCCCAGGGCUUUGUGGGCACCAGUGGCACCCUUCACGAAGAGACUUUCUCCUCUGUCCUACACAGGCCGUCCUGUGCUUAUUCUCCACAUACCACCCCUACAUGCUACACCUGGUAUGCCAAGACGGCAGGCCGGGAUGCACCCUGAGUGGGAAGGGCCAGCCCAGCCUCCCACCUGCCUCAUCACGACCGAGGUGAAGGCUGGCAGGGUGGUGCUGGACUCCAGCCUGGCCUGUGUCUGACCUUGGUGCUGUGCGUAGCUGGGGCCCACAGAACAGCCCCCCUAGGGAUUUUCCCUCUGUCCACUGGCUGUCCAUCCUGGCAACCUGGGCCCCCGAUAGCAGAAGCCUGGCUCCCUGAUGCUUGUCCCCGUGGGCCUGGCCAGGACACGGGGCGUGCAUCUCCUGUCCAAAUUGAAGUCUGCGAUCACCCCCGCAGGGACCACCAGUUCACCCGGGGAAGAAGCUGUCCCUGCCAGAGUGUGGGCUACUGACUUGGGGGAAUUCAGAGACUUCUUGAGAAGAUUUCAACCCAACUCCCUCUGCGCUGAUACAGUUCCCUGGACUGCACGGCUGUGGUUGCAGAGGGGCUGGGACCCAGAGCUGGGC